rnacentral:tRNA from 1 species
GCCGAGGUGGCGGAAUGGUAGACGCGCAGGUCUCAAAAACCUGUGUCCUCAAAGACAUGAGAGUUCGAGUCUCUCCCCCGGCACAA